GGACUCCCGAACGGUUGGGGAUCCCGAGCCGCAGGCUGCCAUCUUGCCCCAUGUGGGCACUGGAGAAUGGGGCUAGUGUAGAGAAGACCCUAGAAGAGAGAUGUGGAUGGGACAGGGUCCUUGUGGCAUCAUUUGAGAUUCUGAACCUGGAGCUGGGGCUGCUCCCAGAGUUUUUGGAUAUAUGAGCCAAUACAUCCCAUUUUGGCUUAAACCUGCUGUAGCUGUAGGACUGUGACCAAGAGUUCUAUUUCUAUGAGUCCCGCAGGCUUGUUUCCCCACCUCUAAAGGGAGAGAGUAAUCACUCCCGUGGUCUGUUAUGCCUCGUCAUUAUCUGUGUAUAGUAGAGAUAUCUUGGUGUAUAGCACCAAGCACAGGACUUGGACAGAGUUAACCACUCAAUAAACAGCAGCCAUGGCCGUCGUCAGGAGCAUUGUGGAGCACUGGAUGCUGUCGCUGGUAUAAGGCCCAGACAUGACGGUGCAGAGGACAUCAGGACCAGCAGGACAUAAAACCCUCACGGUCACAGGGAGAAAGUCAGAUCCCGGGCACCUGACACAGCCAAGCCCUGCUCUCAACAUGUGUAUGACAAUGGGUGUGAUAGAGGUGCCCCCUGCCUCUGGGUCUGGGUUACAUGCCCCCUUCUUUGAGUCCUAGAGGGAACAGCCUGAUAGUGGGCACACCCCUUCCUCUCCCUGAAAUGACCUGGCAGACCCCCUUCCCCCAGUGAUGGCCUUAGGGAUUCCCAGCCAUCACCCCUCCCUCCAGGAACCCCUCAUCCCAUCCUUCCAUAGGGCCACCACACAGACAGGCCCUCUCGACCUUUCCCACCAUGCUCUGCACAACUAGGAUGGGCAGUGCCCCACCCAAAGCACUGCAUGCCCCGCUCCCCAUUGUCACAGUAGGUACAGGACAUGGGUCUAUUAGAUCUUAGACACUACAGUCCGUACAUGCCAAUCCAUUCCCAGAAGACCUCCCCUCCCCACCCCAGUGUCACUGAGCCACUUCCUCCAGCACAGCCCCACGGAGGGAGGCCCUUUUGUGUCUUGCCCAUCACCUGGCUGGCCAGAUCUGCUCAGCUCUUCCCUGACUCAAGAAAAACAAGAGAGCUUCAUUAGUCCGUUUUCAUGCUGCUAUUAAAAACUGCCUGAGACUGGGUAAUUUAUAAAGGAAAGAGGUUUAAUGACUCACAGUUCAGCAUGGUUAGGGAGGCCUCAGGAAACUUACAAUCAUGGCAGAAGGCAAAGGGGAAGCAAGACACCUCCUUCACAAGGCAGCAGGAAGAAGUGCAGAGCCCAAGAGGAAGAGCGCCUUAUAAAACCAUCAGGUCUCGUGAGAACUCACUCACUAUCACGAGAACAGCAUGGGGAAGCUGCCCUCAUGAUUCAAUUACCUCCACCUGGUCUCUCCUGUGACACAUGGGGAUAUAAGGAUUAUAAUUCAAGAUGAGACUUGGGUGGGGACACAAAUCCUAACCAUAUCAAGUGCUCUGUGGUCCCAGAUAAGCCAAGAAACCUUCGUGGAGGAGGCCACCCCCACCCUUGGCCUCCAGACCCAGUGGGAUGCCUAGGAGGAAACUGAGGCCCAGGAGCCUGGAGAUGUGUCUGCUCCAGGUCACACUGUGGGCUGUAGGGGUCCGGAACCCAGACAUGUGGACUGCGCCAGGCUCUAGCCAAUGACUCCUCCAAACCACUGCACCUCCCCAGCCCUCCAGAGUUCUCAUCUGAAAAACGGGGCAUCAGGUCUGAAGGUCUUCAAUGCCCCUUCUGGCUGGGAUAUCAGAGUUUUGGGACCUCUCUCUCCAGGUCCUCAUGAGUCCAGCAGGAGCUCUGGCAGGUCCAGGGUCCCCUCCUUCCCUCUGCUGCCACUGCUCAGCACCCAACCCUUUUUAAAAUUAGCUCUGUGAGUUACAGAAGUAAUCCCUGCUUUCUUGUUAACAUGUUUCAAACAGCACAGAAGGGUUCAAGGUGGAAGCUGAAGGUACUCCCCAGUCUCCCCCACAACCCCCAGCCCACCUCUGCUAGGUCCCACAUGGCCUUUGGGAAACAUAUGCAUUGUUCCCUCUUCCCAUAGAAGCCAGAAGGGAAGUCUGGAAUCAGUGAGCCAGGUACAGCUCUGGGCCCAGGCCCAGAGAUCCCACACUCAUGCCAGCCCCUACCCACGCCAGCCCCCUCCCUGUGCCAGCCACCGCCCCUCCAUCUAUGCAGGCCCCCUACCACCAAGCCCAUCGAUAGGGGCUCAUUAUUCCGUCCUGUCUCCCUAGGAUGGGGCAGAGUGACAGCUGUUCCGUGUUUAAUUACCGAUGGGCUGAGGCUAUGCCAACCCAUGAAUAAAAUUACAGUUGUUCUGCAAUGCAAAUA